rnacentral:lncRNA from 1 species
AGCAUAAUUGUUCCUAGAGUGCUCUUUCAAAGGAUCAUAGAGUCAGAUGUUAGUCAGACAUACAGAUGAAGGAGUGAUAUUAGUGGAGCUGCUUAUAUGCCUGACAUCCAGUAAGAACUUAACUGACUAGUAUCUACCUGGUACCAACCCCUGGAGAAACAUGGAGAUCCUGCUUCUGAGAGUGCAUGAGAGAAGGGCAGCCUUUUUCCUACACACUCAGAGCAUGUAAUGGUAUCUUCUGUUUCUUGUCAACUUAUUGUCGGGCUCAUAAACACUCUAGUUAUUAGGUGAGCUGGAAGUGAAUGUGGGUAUGAGAUACCAACAGAUGAAGGUUCAGUCUCCUUGGGUACUUUCAAGUGAGGAAAAAGAAAUGCUGUAAAACUGAGUAAGAGAGCAUUUCUCUAGCUGUUCACCACCAUGUGACUGUGAAUAUGGAACACCUCGUUUCUUCUCCUAAUGGCAGAUGAGCCAGCCUUGAGGAGUGACCUAAGGGACUGAUCCCAGAAGUGAAGCUACUCAGCUCUUGAGAUGCUAUGUCCUACAAGCAAGGGAAUAACUUGUCCAUUAUAACUAUCUCACACCUAAUGAAUUUGAUGAGAAGCAAUCAUUUGUUCUACAUUCGUCUACAGAGACCACCAUGUAACAUGUCUUUACCUAUUAUGAGAAGAGGGAAAUAGUGGCUUCUGACAGUGACAGCCUUGAAGGAGGAAAAAAAUCUUCUACUGGGUAGAACAAAUGCCUUGCCAAUUGAAAUAUUAAAGCAACCAUUUCUUCUUUCAUAAGUGUAGGAUAAAAGUUAUUUCUCUUGGUUUUGCUCUAAUGCUAAUUAUAGGAAGAUUAAUUUUCUUAGAUUUCUUUCAG